UCCCUGAUGGUCCAGUGGCUAGGACUCUGCACUCCCACUGCCGGGGGCCUGGGUUCAAUCCCUCGUCUGGGAA
rnacentral:tRNA from 1 species